AAUCGAGGGUCAUAAAUCACUGAAAGGGAGCUCUCACACCCUGAGGAUGCCAUCUGCUUCCAAGUCGGAGGUGGAGGUGCGAGCGAGCGAGCGGGCCUGGAGGGGAAGGCAGAGCAGGAGGAGAGACGGAAGAAGCUCUGAGCGACAUCCGCCCUGGACCCAGUGUCUCUGAAACGGACCAGACCGGCCCAGACCGCAACCAGAAGACUGACGCGGGCACAGAUAGAGACUUGUCCUAAAGUAGCCUGCCCUCAUUGACAUUGUAAAUGCCCCUCUUCUGGGAGGGGUGAAGCAGCCGUUUUUAGAUCAUGCGAUGUAUGCAGAAGCCUGAUUUCAAACCACGCAUGUGCAAGCUUAUGCCUGCCUCUGCACGCGAUGAUGAGACUUCCCCUUUGAAUAUUCAUUCUCCGCCCCAAAUAAUAAAGACUCCCACCUCCCCGUGCCCGGGGUCUGAGCUUUGUGAAAUUAUUCCCUGUGGUCUCCGUUUUCCUUUGCUGCAUGCCGCAAAUAAAAAUUCUACGUUGUGAAACAACUACUUCUGGUGCAGCUGGAUUUAGCUCCCAAGAAGGGACCGACGUUUGGUCCGGACACGGAAGUGGUAAGACCAUCACGGCUUAACUCCAGGAGGGCAGGAAGUGGAUAUUUCUUAGGCCAUACAGAGCCUGCCAGUACAGUAGGUGUACACCCAAAGUGUGUGGAACGGACGAGUGAGUGAAUGAGACCGCAUGCCCCCCCGGGUGUGGCUGGACGGCCUAGGGGCUAACCACAUGUUAGCAAGGCCAAGCUUAUAUGCUUUGAUGAAGCAAACAGCUGUUCCGGAAAAGCCCACAUGGCAAGGAAUUGAGGCCUCAGUCCACCAACCCUCAAGGAACUCACUUGCGCCAACAAACACAGGAGCCUGGAAACAGACCCUUCCCCAGUCAAGCCUUCAGAUGAGACCCCAGCCCCAGCCGACAUGCCGAUUGCAGCCUCGUGACAGACACUGAAGCAGAGGAACCAGCUGAAAUGUGCUUGGAUUCCUGACCCACAGAAGCUGAGCAAUCAUAGUUGUGUGUGGUUUUAAGCCACUAAGUUUUUGGUGAUUUGUCUAUGCAGCAAAAGAUAACUUAUAUAAUAGAUUUAUAUGUAUAUAUAUAUAAAUCUCUUGUACAUACAGUCCUGAUGCCCUCCAUUAAUAGAAGCCAUUGUUUCUAACAUUAUUACUUUGAGUGGGAAGGAGAAAGCCACAGGUUGCCCUUCUCAACCCCUGUGUACUUUUUCUCUCCUGAUGACAAGGCCUCCUGAUCAUUUUGCUUUUCUGCAUUUUCCAAUUUGUCUACAAGGAACAUAGGUGCAUGCAACUUUUCAAAACUACAUUGACGAUAUCGGAAGUAAAGAAAGUCUGGCUGAACUGACUUUGGGAGCUAAAGUCCCAAUGCCCGAGUAUCUGAGGGGCCUUCCGUCUCUGCUUCUGCCUACCCACUUCUCCAUCAUCAGUCCUCCUACCUAGGGCUCCUGCCUCCUCCGGCCAUUUCCUGCUGUUGCUUCCUCCUGGAUCCCUAUUCUUGCCCUUCCUCUUCCGGUUCAUGCUGACUCAUCCUUGAGGUUCCAGGUUAGAGCUGCCUCCUCCAGGAAGUACCCCCGGCUUCCCCAGGUUGACAAGAUGCUUCUUCCAUGCUCCCACAGCGCCCUGCCUCAUCCCAGCACAUCUCCCAGUUCCCCCCACCAGAAACCCCACGUGUCUCCCCAAUGAUCUGCCCACAGGCCUUGCUCUGCAGGGAGCGGGAGCCCCAAACCCAGAGGCCUGACUUUACCUCUGAAUUUGGUCAUUCAUACGGUCAGCCAGAUACAGAGAUAACGUCCCAAGCAGAUGACAAUCAGCAAACAACUUUUAGCAUCUGCCCUGGUGCCAGGCUGUGCUGCCUGUGGUGCGCUGUGAAUUAAUAUUUAAAACGAAUCCUUUCAUUUUCUUAUGACCCAUCUACUUAUAUUGCCCUAUUGUGGGUAAGUAUUAAAUGGAGCUUCACUAGUUCAUUGCAAGCAUUAAAAAUAUA